rnacentral:rRNA from 1 species
GACGAACGCUGGCGGCGUGCUUAACACAUGCAAGUCGAACGGAAAGACCCUGCUUUUGUGGGGUGCUCGAGUGGCGAACGGGUGAGUAACACGUGAGUAACCUGCCCUUGACUUUGGGAUAACUUCAGGAAACUGGGGCUAAUACCGGAUAGAAGCUCCUGCUGCAUGGUGGGGGUUGGAAAGUUUCGGCGGUUGGGGAUGGACUCGCGGCUUAUCAGCUUGUUGGUGGGGUAGUGGCUUACCAAGGCUUUGACGGGUAGCCGGCCUGAGAGGGUGACCGGCCACAUUGGGACUGAGAUACGGCCCAGACUCCUACGGGAGGCAGCAGUGGGGAAUAUUGCACAAUGGGCGGAAGCCUGAUGCAGCAACGCCGCGUGCGGGAUGACGGCCUUCGGGUUGUAAACCGCUUUCGCCUGUGACGAAGCGUGAGUGACGGUAAUGGGUAAAGAAGCACCGGCUAACUACGUG